GAUGAACGCUAGCUAUAGGCUUAACACAUGCAAGUCGAGGGACCGGCGCCGGGGUGAGUAACGCGUAUCCAACCUGCCCAUAACUACGGGAUAACCCAGCGAAAGUUGGACUAAUACCUUAUGGUUAUGGAUGGGGAUGCGUCUGAUUAGCUUGUUGGCGGGGUAACGGCCAACCAAGGCAACGAUCAGUAGGGGUACUGAGAGGAAGGUCCCCCAGAUUGGAAAUGAGACACGGUCCAAAAUCCUACGGGAGGCAGCAGUGAGGAAUAUUGGUCAAUGGACGCGAGUCUGAACCAGCCAAGUAGCGUGCAGGAUGACGGCAUAUGGGUUGUAAACUGCUUUUAUAUGGGGAUAGGUACCAUAUGAAUAAGGACCGGCUAAUUCCGUGCCAGCAGCCGCGGUAAUAC
rnacentral:rRNA from 1 species